GAUGAACGCUGGCGGCGUGCCUAAUACAUGCAAGUCGAGCGAACGGACGAGAAGCUUGCUUCUCUGAUGUUAGCGGCGGACGGGUGAGUAACACGUGGAUAACCUACCUAUAAGACUGGGAUAACCUCGGGAAACCGGAGCUAAUACCGGAUGAUAUUUUGAACCGCAUGGUUCAAAAGUGAAAGACGGUCUUGCUGUCACUUAUAGAUGGAUCCGCGCUGCAUUAGCUAGUUGGUAAGGUAACGGCUUACCAAGGCAACGAUGCAUAGCCGACCUGAGAGGGGGACCGGGCACACUGGGACUGAGGCACGGUCCAGCCUCCUACGGGAGGGAGCAGUAGGGAAUCCUCCGCAAUGGACGAAAGCCUGACGCAGCACCGCCGCGUGGUUGAUGAAGGUCUUCGGCUCGUAAAACUCUGUUAUUAGGGAAGAACAUAUGUGUAAGUACCUGUGCACAUCUUGACGGUACCUAAUCAGAAAGCCACGGCUAACUACGUG
rnacentral:rRNA from 1 species